GGGGAAUCUUGGACAAUGGGCGCAAGCCUGAUCCAGCCAUGCCGCGUGAGUGAUGAAGGCCUUAGGGUCGUAAAGCUCUUUCGCUGGGGAUGAUAAUGACAGUACCCAGUAAAGAAACCCCGGCUAACUCCGUGCCAGCAGCCGCGGUAAUACGGAGGGGGUUAGCGUUGUUCGGAAUUACUGGGCGUAAAGCGCGCGUAGGCGGAUUGGAAAGUUGGGGGUGAAAUCCCGGGGCUCAACCUCGGAACUGCCUCCAAAACUAUCAGUCUAGAGUUCGAGAGAGGUGAGUGGAAUUCCGAGUGUAGAGGUGAAAUUCGUAGAUAUUCGGAGGAACACCAGUGGCGAAGGCGGCUCACUGGCUCGAUACUGACGCUGAGGUGCGAAAGUGUGGGGAGCAAAC
rnacentral:rRNA from 1 species